CCUACGGGAGGCAGCAGUAGGGAAUCUUGCGCAAUGGGCGAAAGCCUGACGCAGCCAUGCCGCGUGAAUGAUGAAGGUCUUAGGAUUGUAAAAUUCUUUCACCGGGGACGAUAAUGACGGUACCCGGAGAAGAAGCCCCGGCUAACUUCGUGCCAGCAGCCGCGGUAAUACGAAGGGGGCUAGCGUUGCUCGGAAUUACUGGGCGUAAAGGGAGCGUAGGCGGAUAGUUUAGUCAGAGGUGAAAGCCCAGGGCUCAACCUUGGAACUGCCUUUGAUACUGGCUAUCUUGAGUACGGGAGAGGUGUGUGGAACUCCGAGUGUAGAGGUGAAAUUCGUAGAUAUUCGGAAGAACACCAGUGGCGAAGGCGACACACUGGCCCGUUACUGACGCUGAGGCUCGAAAGCGUGGGGAGCAAACAGGAUUAGAUACCCUGGUAGUCCACGCCGUAAACGAUGAGUGCUAGUUGUCGGCANGCAUGCAUGUCGGUGACGCAGCUACGACAUAAGUACACNCCGCCGUCGGGAGGUACGGUCGCGAGAGUAAACGUACUAAUUAGAAGUUAGUUACGGCGUGAGACGNGCCGACGGACGACGACGAGGGAGGAGG
rnacentral:rRNA from 1 species